CCUGUCAAUACAAAAGCCCGAAAUAUCAGUUAUCUAUGCAGCUAAAAUGUGGCAAAAUUCUUUGAAAAAUCCUAAGAUUUUGUGCACAAAACUCUGAAAAUCACUUUAGAGUUUAUGCAUCGAAUCCAUGUUGAGAGGCGAAGUUGAAGAGUUUAAUCAUGUUUCAGAAGUGACCAAGGAAAAUUGAUAUCAAGUUGAGGAAUCUGAACCUAAGACCUCCCAGCUUCAGCGUUUUUGUGGCCUCACCUUUAAACUUACAAGGUAAUCGCUAACUUUUUAAGGCAAUUCCGAUGAUGUGAAUCCUCAAUCAACACUCAACUAGUACUAAAAGAAGGUGUCAAGCCUCUAUUAUUAGCCUAUAAUGAAUACGUCUUGUAAUAUAACAACUGAACAUAUACACGGGAGCCCAACUUCUAUAAGUAAUGUUUUGACAAAGCAGAGCAGAGACUAGUAUUUGAUGUUGUGACCCUGUGACAUGUUUCACAUUUGAGGCCCGAGCAAGACAUUGAAGCUCAAUUAUUACUUUACUAUAUCACAUCAUGUACGUUUCAAGUCGGUUAGAGUAGUUAAGUAUUAAGUAUUAAGUCACAGUCAAGCUCAUAAUGGAUUUAAGAAAUCUAAGGUGUGCUGAACUAAGAAGAGUUGACUUGUAAGCAUAUUGCUAUUAUUUUUUCCCAACUAAAGCAUAAGCCACUUGA